AACGCACAUUGCGCCCGCUGGUAUUCCGGCGGGCAUGCCCGUUCGAGCGUCAUUUUAAUUCCUUCCCAGAAGGCAGCUUCUGUUUUCACAGAGGUUUCCUCCAGGGGUGUUGGCACCUGGCGCCGCCUAGGCGACCGGAGCCCAAAUGCAGUGGCGGACGCGCAAGCGGUCCCUAGCGCAGUAGAACACAAAAACUUCGCUCAGGAGGCUCGCAGCAGUGGACCACAGCCUAACGCAAAAAGCUUUUUUUUGCAACCAAAAACUUGACCUCGGAUCGGGUAGGACUACCCGCUGAACUUAA
rnacentral:misc_RNA from 1 species